rnacentral:precursor_RNA from 7 species
UUCUCCUGCAUCACACGAGACUUUGCCUAGUCCCUGAGACCCUAACUUGUGAGGUAUUUUAGUAACAUCACAAGUCAGGUUCUUGGGACCUAGGCGGAGGGAUACCAGCAGCUUGGGACCU